CCGGGUCGUCUGUAUAGCUGGUCGCUAGGAUGCCAGAUGAUUCCCGAAUCGGCGCUGGGUGUGAGAUUCUAUGGUGCUGCGCUGGCAUGCAUGGCCGUCCUGUUAUGGCAAGUGAUCGGAUCCGUGGACAAAGCACUACUUCGACUAGCUCUUCUCGUUUCUAGUGUUCAUUAUGGGGCGUGUGGUACAAGCGGAAAGUUUUAGUGAUGCUGCUGCACAUCAAUGGAUGCUGCUAGC